UACGUAGGUGGCAAGCGUUAUCCGGAUUUAUUGGGCGUAAAGGGAACGCAGGCGGUCUUUUAAGUCUGAUGUGAAAGCCUUCGGCUUAACCGGAGUAGUGCAUUGGAAACUGGGAGACUUGAGUGCAGAAGAGGAGAGUGGAACUCCAUGCGUAGCGGUGAAAUGCGUAGGUAUAUGGAAGAACACCAGUGGCGAAAGCGGCUCUCUGGUCUGUAACUGACGCUGAGGUUCGAAAGCGUGGGUAGCAAACAGG
rnacentral:rRNA from 1 species